rnacentral:rRNA from 1 species
UACGUAGGGUGCAAGCGUUGUCGGAAUUAUUGGGCGUAAAGAGCUCGUAGGCGGUCUGUCGCGCGGAUGUGGAAAACCCAAGGGCUCAACCCUGGGCCCUGCAUUCGAUACGGGCAGACUAGAGUUGGUAGGGGGAGACUGGAAUUCCUGGUGUAGCGGUGAAAUGCGCAGAUAUCGGGAAGGAACACCUACUUGCGAAGGCAGCUCGCUGGGACGUUACUGACGCUGAGACGCGAAGCUGGGGAGCAAACAGG